CGACCGCUGGCGGCGUGCUUAACACAUGCAAGUCGAACGGAAAGGCCCUGCUUUUGUGGGGUGCUCGAGUGGCGAACGGGUGAGUAACACGUGAGUAACCUGCCCUUGACUUUGGGAUAACUUCAGGAAACUGGGGCUAAUACCGGAUAGGAGCUCCUGCUGCAUGGUGGGGGUUGGAAAGCUUCGGCGGUUGGGGAUGGACUCGCGGCUUAUCAGCUUGUUGGUGGGGUAGUGGCUUACCAAGGCUUUGACGGGUAGCCGGCCUGAGAGGGUGACCGGCCACAUUGGGACUGAGAUACGGCCCAGACUCCUACGGGAGGCAGCAGUGGGGAAUAUUGCACAAUGGGCGGAAGCCUGAUGCAGCAACGCCGCGUGCGGGAUGACGGCCUUCGGGUUGUAAACCGCUUUCGCCUGUGACGAAGCGUGAGUGACGGUAAUGGGUAAAGAAGCACCGGCUAACUACGUG
rnacentral:rRNA from 1 species